rfam:Pseudogymnoascus pannorum VKM F-3557 contig_2513, whole genome shotgun sequence.
GCUCCAAUGGCGCAAUGGUAGCGCGCAAGACUUCUAUGAACUACUCCUAGUCACGUUAUCUUGAGGUUGAGGGUUCGAGCCCCUCUUGGAGUG